rnacentral:rRNA from 1 species
GACGAACGCUGGCGGCGUGCUUAACACAUGCAAGUCGAACGGAAAGGCCCUGCUUUUGUGGGGUGCUCGAGUGGCGAACGGGUGAGUAACACGUGAGUAACCUGCCCUUGACUUUGGGAUAACUUCAGGAAACUGGGGCUAAUACCGGAUAGGAGCUCCUGCUGCAUGGUGGGGGUUGGAAAGUUUCGGCGGUUGGGGAUGGACUCGCGGCUUAUCAGCUUGUUGGUGGGGUAGUGGCUUACCAAGGCUUUGACGGGUAGCCGGCCUGAGAGGGUGACCGGGCAGAGUGGUACAGAGAUGAGGGGCGGACUGCUUCGGGCGGCAGGGGUGGGGGGGGGUGCACGGUGUGCGGUAGCAAGAUGCAGCAGCGCGGCGUGCGGGAGGGGGGGCUGAGGGGUGGAAACGGCGUGCGCCUGAGCUGAGGCGCAGGGGACGAGAAUGGAGAACGAAAAACCCACACGCAAUAUC